rnacentral:rRNA from 1 species
GGAAAGUCUCUGGUGAAAUCCUGCAGCUUAACUGUAGGGCUUGCCGGAGAAACUCUCNGACUAGAGGAUGGGAGAGGUCGGAGGUACUUCUGGGGUAAGGGUGAAAUCCUAUAAUCCUAGAAGGACCAACAGUGGCGAAGGCGUCCGACAUGAACAUGCCUGACAGUGAGGGACNAGAGCCAGGGUCGCGAAAGGGAUUAGAUACCCGUGUAGUCCUGGCCGUAAACGAUGUUGACUAGGUGGGGCGCGUACUUCGAGUACAUGCUAUGCCGAAGGGAAACCGUUA